rnacentral:antisense_RNA from 1 species
UUGAGGGUAUACGGCCAGGUAUCUUGAGAUUCUACUAGAGAUUCAUCACCAAAAUGAUCACCAUCAGCUGAUACAUCUAAAACCACUGGCUCGUCAUAUUUACCAAGACCAAUUUUGUUAACUUUACCACGAGCGAUCAGUAAUACUUGAUUGGCUUCUUGACCAAUUUCCACAAUUACGUCCCCCGCAGCAAAUUCCUGUUGCACAAAUUGGUUCGCUAAGGUGGUUAAAACUUCUAUGUCUUCAAACCCUCUUAAUAAGGGUAAUUCCGUUAGUUCUUGGGGAAUUACUUGUACGGUUGAUCCAGUGUUAGUAAAAGAUACUUUUCCAUCACCCACAGUGUAACUUAAACGACGGUUAACCCGAUAGACACCGCCUUUUGUUUGUACCCAUGGUAAUAGUUUUAAUAACCACCGUGAGGUAAUUUCCUGCAUUUGCGGCGCGGAUUUGGUGGUUGUCGCCAAAUUACGGGCAGCUGCUGUACUUAAACUUAGUUGAGGUUGUUGAU